rnacentral:lncRNA from 1 species
UUAUGGCCUGAGUUCCACCGAAGACGCCAAGGACGUGGCGUCAUACCUCUGGCACAGUUUCUUGGGUGGUUCUGCUGCUCGCUACUCUCGACCCCUCGGGGAUGCGGUUCUGGAUGGCAUAGACUUCAACAUCGCCGGAGGGAGCACAGAACACUACGAUGAACUUGCCGCUUUCCUCAAGGCCUACAACGAGCAGGAGGCCGGAACGAAGAAAGUUCACUUGAGUGCUGCUCCGCAGUGUCCUUUCCCGGAUUACUGGCUUGGCAACGCACUCAGAACAGAU